rnacentral:lncRNA from 1 species
AGAGAGAGAGAGAGAGAGAGAGAGAGAGAGAGAGAGAGAGAGAGAGAUUGGGUUACCUCACUCAAGAUGAUAUUUUCUAGUUCCAUCCGUUUUCCUAUAAAUUUCUUGAUGUCAUUGUUUUUGAUAGCUAUGUAGUACCCCAUUGUGUAGAUGUACCACAUUUUCUGUAUCCAUUCCUCUGUUGAAGGGCAUCUGGGUCCUUUCCAGUUUCUGGCUAUUAUAAAUAAGGCUACUAUGCUAUGGAGCAUGUGUCCUUGUUAUAUGUUGGAGCAUCAUUUGGUUAUAUGCCCAGGAGAGGUAUAACUGUGUCUAAUUUUCUGAGGAACCUCCAGACUGAUUUCCAGAGUGGUUGUACCAGUUUGCAGCCCCACCAACAAUGGAGGAGUGUUACUCUUUCUGAACGUCCUCAACAGCAUCUGCUGUCACCUGAGUUUUUUAUCUUAGCCAUUCUGACUGGUCUGAGGUGGAGUCUCAGGGUUGUUUUGAUUUGCCUUUUCCUGAAGACUAAGGAUAUUGAACAUUUCUUUAGGUGCUUCUCGGCCAUUCGAUAAUCCUCAGCUGAGAAUUUUUUGUUUAGCUCUGUACCCCAUUUUUAAUAGGGUUAGUUGAUUCUCUGGAGUCUAACUCCUUGAGUUCUUUGUGUAUAGUGGAUAUUAGCCCUCUAUCAGAUGUAGGAUUGGGAAAGACCUUUUCCCAAUCCGUUAAUUGUUGUUU